UACGUAGGGGGCGAGCGUUGUCCGGAAUCACUGGGCGUAAAGCGCGCGUAGGCGGCGCGGCGCAUCCCGUGUGAAAGCGCCCGGCUCAACCGGGCGAGGCCACGGGAGAUGGCCGCGCUGGAGGGCGGCAGAGGCAGGCGGAAGGCCCGAAGUAGUGGUGAAAUGCGUAGAGAUCGGGCGGAACACCAGUGGCGAAGGCGGCCUGCUGGGCCGACCCUGACGCUGAGGCGCGAAAGCCAGGGGAGCGAACGGA
rnacentral:rRNA from 1 species